ensembl:snoRNA
CCUAUCUCUAAAAGUGUUUUAGGGAUGGCUUCUGUCUGACAUGCCAGUUGGUAGGAGGCAAAGAGUAGAGAGGCUAUGUCUAUACUCAGUGUUCUGAACUAUGAAUAUAUGAAUGAUUAGUACCUAAAAUU